UACGAAGGGGGCUAGCGUUGUUCGGAAUUACUGGGCGUAAAGCGCACGUAGGCGGUUACUUAAGUCAGGGGUGAAAUCCCGGGGCUCAACCCCGGAGCUGCCUUUGAUACUGGGUAUCUCGAGUCCGGAAGAGGGGAGUGGAAUUCCGAGUGUAGAGGUGAAAUUCGUAGAUAUUCGGAGGAACACCAGUGGCGAAGGCGGCUCACUGGUCCGGUACUGACGCUGAGGUGCGAAAGCGUGGGGAGCAAACAGG
rnacentral:rRNA from 1 species